GUUUCUGUUCCCCUCUUCUCCGCGAUCUGCAAUCCGCUCUCGCCCCACCCUCUGUCUUCCUCGUCCUCUUCUUCUUCUUCCGAGGAUCAUCUCCGGCCCUUCUCCGAGAUCCAACCCUUCCUUGGAAUGGAGUAUCGUCAGUAAGCUCGUUUUUGGACUGAUGGAUUAAUAGAUAGAAAUAAAGCGAUGGUGGAAUAUUUGAAGCAGCAUGGAAUAAUCAAAUCGAGGGAAGUGGCAGAAGUAAUGGAGGCAAUUGAUCGGGGUUUAUUUGUGCCAGCUGGAUGCCCGCCUUAUGUUGAUAGGCCUGUGCAAAUUGGCUACAAUGCAACUAUCUCUGCACCUCAUAUGCAUGCAAGUUGUCUAGAACUGUUAGAAAAACAACUGCUGCCAGGAAUGAGUGCUUUAGAUGUUGGUUCAGUGAAGCCAUCUGUAAUGGAGCAAAAUACUGGAGCAUGGGGUCGUAAGGCUAGGUCAAAUCAGAUAGUAAAGUGAUGAGGGCAUCCUCCAUGGAAAAGAUUUGAACCCGCUUUUUGAUGUCAUGGGAGAAUGAACUUCUGGGAUUAGUUUUGGACGCAUAUGUUAAUUUGCAACAAAAAAUAUGGGUACCACCAAUAUCUGCCUCCGCCACACAAUAAAGAAAAACAAGGUUGGAAUCAGCAGGCGACUUUCAGGUAUGAAAAUCUGCAAUAACUAACUGUAGGGUCAUUUCAGACUUCUGAAUUGCUCACUCAUGUGCAACUUUCCCAUUAUUGAUCUUAUGCAUGAUAAGGGGAGGUUGACUUCUAUAUUGGUUUUCAUUUGGAAAAAAGAAAGGGAAAAAACUGUUUAAGCGGUGAAUCUUGGUUGCAAUGAGAAGUGAAAGGGUGAUCAGUGUUAGGGAGGACAUCUCAAUCUAACUAAGGUGUAAACGAGCCGAACACAAGCAAGCUGAGUCCAGCUCAAUCUCCGCUCAGAAUUCCAGAUGACUAGCUCAAGCUUGGCUCUACUUCGAGUCAUGCUACAAAGGAUAAGCUUGACCUCGGUGCAUUUUGAGGUCAAUUAUGCUUCUCUCUUCGAGCAUGAUAUGGAAUCUGACUACUCCCUUGUCUCCCAACAAAAGGCAUUGAAGUUGUGGAGGAGGAGGUGGCCCACCAUUAGAUUGACACCUUAGCAAGGGGAUAACUGCCCUCUGGAUUUUGGAGAAAGAGUUUUGAGAUUGGAGAGGAGAGGAAUAUCCCUCACAAGGUUAUGAUGGAGGUGAUCCAGCAGGGACAUCCAAAGCAGAGGUAGUUGUGUUGAUUUGCAGUUUGCAAGAGAGGAGAGUAAGACUAGAGAUUUGGGUGCAUGGUCUGGAACAUUCAAGAGAGAGAUGGAACAGAAGGGGCCAAAGGGACCGGGUACUUAACCGCAUGCUUCGCACUGAUGGUCGGACCUCAAGGUCAUGUUGUGGGUGUCGAACACAUUCCUGAGCUGGUUACUUCUUCCGUUGAGAAUAUCAAGAAAAGUUCAGCAGCAUCAUUGUCAAAGGAAGGUUCUCUUUCUAUACAUGUUGCUGAUGGAAGGCUGGGUUGGCCAGAACUGGCACCAUGUGAUGCCAUCCAUGUUGGUGCUGCAGCACCUGAGAUUCCUCAACCACUUAUUGAUCAGUUGAAGCCUGGUGGCAGGAUGGUGAUCCCUGUUGGCACCGUUUUCCAGAAUCUGAAGGUAGUUGAUAAGAAGUUGGAUGGUUCUGUCAGUGUUAGAAAUGAAAUAUGUGUAUGGUAUGUUCCUUUCACAAGUCGAGCAACCCAGUUGCAUGAUUAUUGACAGAAGUU